GUUAAUCUCUCUGUAGGUGAUGACUCUUCUCCAGGUUCAUCUCUCUGUAGGUGAUGACUCUUCUCCAGGUUCAUCUCUCUGUAGGUGAUGACUCUUCUCCAGGUUCAUCUCUCUGUAGGUGAUGACUCUUCUCCAGGUUCAUCUCUCUGUAGGUGAUGACUCUUCUCCAGGUUCAUCUCUCUGUAGGUGAUGACUCUUCUCCAGGUUCAUCUCUCUGUAGGUGAUGACUCUUCUCCAGGUUCAUCUCUCUGUAGGUGAUGGCUCUUCUCCAGGUUCAUCUCUCUGCAGGUGAUGACUCUUCUCCAGGUUCAUCUCUCUGUAGGUGAUGACUCUUCUCCAGGUUCAUCUCUCUGUAGGUGAUGACUCUUCUCCAGGUUCAUCUCUCUGUAGGUGAUGACUCUUCUCCAGGUUCAUCUCUCUGUAGGUGAUGACUCUUCUCCAGGUUCAUCUCUCUGUAGGUGAUGACUCUUCUCCAGGUUCAUCUCUCUGCAGGUGAUGACUCUUCUCCAGGUUCAUCUCUCUGCAGGUGAUGACUCUUCUCCAGGUUCAUCUCUCUGUAGGUGAUGACUCUUCUCCAGGUUCAUCUCUCUGUAGGUGAUGACUCUUCUCCAGGUUCAUCUCUCUGUAGGUGAUGACUCUUCUCCAGGUUCAUCUCUCUGUAGGUGAUGGCUCUUCUCCAGGUUAAUCUCUCUGUAG